GAUGAAGAACGUAGCAAAAUGCGAUAAGUAAUGUGAAUUGCAGAAUUCAGUGAAUCAUCGAAUCUUUGAACGCACAUUGCGCCCGCUAGUAUUCUGGCGGGCAUGCCUGUUCGAGCGUCAUUUCAACCCUCAAGCACAGCUUGGUGUUGGGACUCGCGUUAAUUCGCGUUCCCCAAAUUGAUUGGCGGUCACGUCGAGCUUCCAUAGCGUAGUAGUAAAACCCUCGUUACUGGUAAUCGUCGCGGCCACGCCGUUAAACCCCAACUUCUGAAUGUUGACCUCGGAUCAGGUAGGAAUACCCGCUGAACUUAAGCAUAUCAAUAAGCGGAGGA
rnacentral:misc_RNA from 1 species